rnacentral:rRNA from 1 species
CCUACGGGAGGCAGCAGUGAGGAAUAUUGGUCAAUGGGCGGGAGUCUGAACCAGCCAAGUCGCGUGAGGGAAGACGGUCCUACGGAUUGUAAACCUCUUUUGCCGGGGAGCAACGGGGUCCUUGCGAGGGCCCUAUGAGAGUACCCGGAGAAAAAGCAUCGGCAAACUCCGUGCCAGCAGCCGCGGUAAUACGGAGGAUGCGAGCGUUAUCCGGAUUUUUUGGGUUUAAAGGGUGCGUAGGCGGAAUAUCAAGUCAGCGGUAAAAAUUCGGGGCUCAACCCCAUCGAGCCGUUGAAACUGAUGUUCUUGAGUGGGCGAGAGGUAUGCGGAAUGCGUGGUGUAGCGGUGAAAUGCAUAGAUAUCACGCAGAACUCCGAUUGCGAAGGCAGCAUACCGGUGCCCAACUGACGCUGAAGCACGAAAGCGUGGGUAUCGAACAGGAUUAGAUACCCGUGUAGUC